GUGCUCGCUUCGGCAGCACAUAUACUAAAAUUGGAAAAGAACAUAAGCAUGGCCCCUGCACAAGGAUGACACACAAAUUCGUGAAGCGUUCCAUAUUUUU
ensembl:snRNA U6 U6 spliceosomal RNA